rnacentral:tRNA from 1 species
GCCCUGAUGGCCGAGUGGUCGAAGGCGUGAGACUUAUGUUCUCAUUGGGUGACUCCAGUCGCGGGUUCGAAUCCCGCUCAGGGCA